AAACGGCGACUCGAUGGAAACCGGAAAAUCAGUGGAUUCACCGCGAACCAUCAGAUUUUUCCGGCUAAAACUGGAGGGUUUUGGUUGAGGAAGGCGAUGCCCACUCCGAUCGUCUUAAACCGGAAGAUUUGACGCUUUUGUUCUCACCACGAUCAACCUCCUUCUGCGACAACGACAGCGGCUUAGUCUUCUGAUGGCGUAAAGCGGACGUCGAGAUCCACUGGGAGACGAAUCGGACAGAGAAGAGUUUACUCGGAGGAACUCUUUUGGUGGUGAAGACAAAGAGAACGAGACCAAAGCUGUUACAACUCCAUUGUUGCCAAGAACUUCAUGUCAACAACAAUCUCAGCAGUUUCUAAAAUCAGGAAGCAUUGCCAAGGAAGAGAGUGUUGGCUGAUAGAAAUGAGCAAACCAUGGAGAACAGGCAGCAGAUUGAAUCUCUGUUCCAGGCGAAAGAUGCGUUGGAGGCUGAGCUGACCCGUUCCGGAAAGGAGAAGACUUUGCUGAAGGAGGAGUUGUGUGGUUCGAGCGAUGAGAAGUUCAUGUUGAAGAUUGAGUUGGAUCUGUUUAUGGGUUUUGUUGAGAGUCGUGUUAAGGAAAUGGGUGUUGAGGUAGAUGGUUUGGUUAAGGAGAAGAGUGAUAGGGAGUGUGAGAUUAGGGAUUUGAAAAGAGAAGCUAAUGUUUUGAUUGGGAAGUUAGAGAGUGAGAGGGAUGAGUUUAGUAGGGUUUGUGAUGAGAAGGAUUUGAUUACGAGUGAGUUUGAUUUUGCCUCUGCGAUCAAUCUCAAGAGAAUGGGGCUCCUUUACGUAUUGUCUUCUAGAAUGAUGAUCAUCAUCUCUUUCUCAUGGUGUGUGGUUCUUUCUGUUUUAGGUUAUGGUGCUGGAGUCCCGUGACAGAAUUGGUGGACGAGUUCACACUGAUUACUCAUUUGGUUUUCCUUUUGAUCUUGGUGCAUUUGGUUCCUCAAGAGUUGGUAACUAAGGUUGGCGUCACUUUUGAACAUAUUUUGGAAGAGAUCAAUAAAGUCAGGGAUGAGCAGGAUGCAGACAUGUCAAUUUCUAAGGCUUUCUCAAUAGUCUUUACUAGGAAACCCGAGUUGAGGUUAGAGGGGCUUGCACACAAUGUACUUCAAAGGUAUGUAUGUCGCAUGUAAGGAUGGUUUGCAUAGACUAGAAAGAACCUCAAGUGAAGAUGGGAUUGUCUUGUGUCUUAAUUUGAAACUAUAACUAUUCUCGUGUUGGAUCGUUUAAAACAUCUUUGGUUUUAUAUUCAAUAAAUUGGAACAUUAUACCUUGUGA